AGGAUUGACAAGGCCAUACACAGAAAAGGGAUCUACUGCAGCCCAUGAACAGUGGUAACCUUGAGAAAGGGUACAGCGCCAGGUCUGAACUAUCUGCAUGUGGGAUCCAGAGAUCUUUCUACUCGACUAGACAGCUGGCACCCUGGACACAUUUGCCAGACUCCCUUGGUCUCAUAUGCUGGAAACAGAGCAAGCAGGUUGUGUACAGAAUGUACAAUUUCUGCAGCCUACUACACCCCAUCUGCCUUCAACUUAGUGGAUGCAUCCAUGAACAAGACUCAGGAACACUCAGGAACCUGGAUGCACCAAAGCCACCAGGAACAACAAGGUGGCACAGUCCCUGCAUCUGACACAGCCACAGCUAGAGGGUGACUGGACACUUUUUCCUACACCUCCAAGAUACCUUUACUAUCUGAUGUACUUCUUCUCUAGAAAUACCCUUUUCCCUUUA
rnacentral:lncRNA from 1 species